rnacentral:rRNA from 1 species
CGCUGGCGGCGUGCCUAAUACAUGCAAGUCGAACGGUCUUUCUAUGGAAGCUUGCUUCCACUGAGAAGAUAGUGGCGGACGGGUGAGUAACACGUGGGUAACCUGCCCAUAAGAGGGGGGAUAACAUCCGGAAACGGGUGCUAAUACCGCAUAGUUUUCUUAAUCGCAUGAUUGAGAAAGGAAAGACGGCCUUUGUGCUGUCGCUUAUGGAUGGACCCGCGGCGUAUUAGUUAGUUGGUGAGGUAACGGCUCACCAAGACGAUGAUACGUAGCCGACCUGAGAGGGUGAUCGGCCACAUUGGGACUGAGACACGGCCCAAACUCCUACGGGAGGCAGCAGUAGGGAAUCUUCCGCAAUGGACGAAAGUCUGACGGAGCAACGCCGCGUGAGUGAAAGAAGGUUUUCGGAUCGUAAAACUCUGUUGUCAGAGAAGAACAAGUCGGAGAGUAACUGCUCCGGCCUUGACGGUAUCUGACCAGAAAGCCACGGCUAACUACGUGCCAGCCGCCGC